rnacentral:tRNA from 1 species
CCAGGUGGCUCAGUGGUAAAGCAUCCGCCUGCAAUGCAGGAGACCCGGGUUUGAUCCCUGGGUCUGGA